UGCGAUGAGUCGAGAAAGAUCACGCAGUUUUAUACUGUUCGCGCAAGCGGCUAGGUGAUGUUUUUAGAUACGGGGCACAUUUUAAGCACGGAUUUGUGGUGUCUGACUUCAGAGGAUUGUGGAGUCC
rfam:Lactobacillus brevis subsp. gravesensis ATCC 27305 genomic scaffold SCAFFOLD3, whole genome shotgun sequence.